UCUUAACAACCCACCAGAAGAAGCACCAAGAAAACCUAGCAUAUUUCCUAAGACAGUGAAAACUGAGCCCCUUCUGGCCUAAAAAUAAAUAUUAAAUAAAGAAAAAAGAAAAAAAAAUAGGGCAAAUGAAAAAGGAAGACAAUGUCCAGAUCAAAGAGUUAAAUAUGGACACAAGAAAUGCAAGCAGCUGUAAAGUGAAAGAUCAAGAACCACUCUGAGGGCUCAGAAGUAGAAACUAGUGAACUCCAAAAGCAACCCUCAAAGAAAAACAAAAAAGCAAGAAAGAUUUUAAGUAUCCAACUUACCUGAGUCAAAAAAGGGAAGAAGAAAAGAAGUAGCUCUGAAGAUGUAGAAUGCCUCGCUCCCAGAGCAAAAGUAAAGAAAAUCACUCAGAAAGACAACAUUAAAAAAAGAAGCCUCAGAAGUUUCCAAAGAAAACACAACUUAGAAGUCCUUGAAGAACAAAAGGAUGCUGGAAAUAUAAAAGAUGGUUCUCCCUUAAAACUAAAAAGGAUUCAUAAGACAAAAGAUAAAGAGAGACAUAAAAUUGGAGAAGAGGUUAUAUUGAGAGUACUAUCAAAG
rnacentral:lncRNA from 10 species